CAGCCGCCGCGGGAAAACGUAGGGUGCGAGCGCUAAUCGGAAUUACUGGGCGUAAAGCGUGCGCAGGCGGUUCGUUAAGACAGAUGUGAAAUCCCCGGGCUUAACCUGGGAACUGCAUUUGUGACUGGCGAGCUAGAGUAUGGCAGAGGGGGGUGGAAUUCCACGUGUAGCAGUGAAAUGCGUAGAGAUGUGGAGGAAUACCGAUGGCGAAGGCAGCCCCCUGGGCCAAUACUGACGCUCAUGCACGAAAGCGUGGGGAGCAAACAGGAUUAGAUACCCCCGUAGUCCCUGUCUCUUAUAC
rnacentral:rRNA from 1 species